GGAGAGUUCCAGAAUGUUCUAGCAUUCGGAAGGCAGGAUAAAGGAUGACCGGAAGAUAGAGAUGAACACGGCCACCCCUCUGAGACUUGCAGAGAGUGUGGAAGGCUGCCGCAGGGAAGGCUCUGAGAUCAAUAUCCCAGGAGAGCACGCCUGUUCCCAAGAGCACGUGGAAAUGGGGUGCCGUGUAUCAUUGGGUGUACUCAGCCAACGCUGUUGAGAGGACUCCUUCGCUUGCCCAGAAGAUCUUUCCAUUAGACAGGAACAGUUCUCACGCUGCACAAGCGGUCAGCUUAAAAGGGACACAUCUGCUCCACUGACCUCGCUGGAAGACUGUGCAUGGUUUGCAUGCAGAGGCAUUUGGAACACUCUGUUUAGCUCCCACUUUGAAGCGGGGAGGAAACGGCGCUUUCUGUUUACUGUGUCCUGUGUGAACUUUUCCUUUACAGGAUCAUUAAAAGAAAAUUAG